rnacentral:rRNA from 1 species
UACGUAGGGUGCAAGCGUUGUCCGGAAUUAUUGGGCGUAAAGAGCUCGUAGGCGGCUUGUCGCGUCGGGAGUGAAAACUCAGGGCUUAACCCUGAGCCUGCUUCCGAUACGGGCAGACUAGAGGUAUGCAGGGGAGAACGGAAUUCCAGGUGUAGCGGUGAAAUGCGUAGAUAUCGGGAGGAACACCAGUGGCGAAGGCGGCUUUCUGGCCCGUUCUUGACGCUGAGGCGCGAAAGCUAGGGUAGCAAACGGG